rnacentral:rRNA from 1 species
GCACAAGCGGUGGAGCAUGUGGUUUAAUUCGAUGCAACGCGAAGAACCUUACCUACUCUUGACAUCCAGAGAACUUAGCAGAGAUGCUUUGGUGCCUUCGGGAACUCUGAGACAGGUGCUGCAUGGCUGUCGUCAGCUCGUGUUGUGAAAUGUUGGGUUAAGUCCCGCAACGAGCGCAACCCUUAUCCUUGUUUGCCAGCACGAUAAUGGUGGGAACUCCAGGGAGACUGCCGGUGAUAAACCGGAGGAAGGUGGGGAC